UACAGAGGUCUCAAGCGUUGUUCGGAUUCAUUGGGCGUAAAGGGUGCGUAGGCGGCGCGGUAAGUCGGGUGUGAAAUCUCGGAGCUUAACUCCGAAACUGCAUUCGAUACUGCCGUGCUUGAGGACUGGAGAGGAGACUGGGAUUUACGGUGUAGCGGUGAAAUGCGUAGAUAUCGUAAGGAAGACCAGUGGCGAAGGCGGGUCUCUGGACAGUUCCUGACGCUGAGGCACGAAGGCCAGGGGAGCAAACGGG
rnacentral:rRNA from 1 species